UGUGGGGAAACGGUGGCAAUUUAUUACUCUGUGAGCCCUUAUGUGAGGGCUCCGUGCCCAAGCAUUUCGAUACGUCUCUUCUACCAUACACAUAGGAAGCCAAAAGGAACAAACCGGCAAACUCCAGGACUGAAGAGACUCCGGCUUCCUGCAGCUACCGGAGUCAUGCAGAGCCACGGGCUUCCCCAGAGACAGCAGGCCCAGACCAGGUUUGGUCACCUCGAGUGUAGCCUUUGGAGCUUCUUAAAUGACUGGAAGAAUUAGUUCAUCAACAAGCAAGACUGCCCCUUCCACUUCACUGGUCUGGACUGACUCAGAUGUGUUCAAGGCCAGUUGUGAACACGCUUAAGAAUGCAUGAAGCUGUGGGCCCAUAAGAAUUCUUUUCUUUGUUGAAGUUCAUCAAUCUAAAAUGGAAGCUGGGCCUUAUCUACAACCCAAAACACUUACUCAGGCCUUCUUGUGAUGCUGUGAGUUUGGUCUCUCAACCCCCCCCUCUUUCUGGAGUUUCUCCCUCCUCCCCCCACUCCCCCUCUCUCUGUUCCUUUACUUCUUUUGUUGCGAGUCCUUUUAUUCCUGAAAUCAGCUUAGAGCUAUUAGCUAAUACUAUUUCCAGAGAAAUCCAUAGAUCAAUUCAAAUAAUAUCCACAUGUGGUUUUCCUCAA